rnacentral:rRNA from 1 species
GACGAACGCUGGCGGCGUGCUUAACACAUGCAAGUCGAACGGAAAGGCCCUGCUUUUGUGGGGUGCUCGAGUGGCGAACGGGUGAGUAACACGUGAGUAACCUGCCCUUGACUUUGGGAUAACUUCAGGAAACUGGGGCUAAUACCGGAUAGGAGCUCCUGCUGCAUGGGGGGGGUUGGAAAGUUUCGGCGGUUGGGGAUGGACUCGCGGCUUAUCAGCUUGUUGGUGGGGUAGUGGCUUACCAAGGCUUUGACGGGUAGCCGGCCUGAGAGGGUGACCGGCCACAUUGGGACUGAGAUACGGCCCAAACUCCUACGGGAGGCAGCAGUGGGGAAUAUUGCACAAUGGGCGGAAGCCUGAUGCAGCAACGCCGCGUGCGGGAUGACGGCCUUCGGGUUGUAAACCGCUUUCGCCUGUGACGAAGCGUGAGUGACGGUAAUGGGUAAAGAAGCACCGGCUAACUACGUG